UAUUUACAGAUAGAAUCACGAGAAGAAGUGGUUUUAAUUUAUUUAAAAACAGAUUGUAUCACGAGAAGAAGUGGUAAAAGUAAAGAAAUCCUUUUAAUUGAAAAUUUAGAGAUUGUAUCACGAAAAGAAGUGGUUGUAAUUUAUUUAAAACAGAUUGAAUCACGAGAAGAAGUGGUUGCAGUUCAUUUAGAAACAGAUUGUAUCACGAGAAGAAGUGAAAAAAUAUUUCUGUGCUCUAAGAUAAAAAUUGAAAUAGUAAUGAAAAAAUCAAUAAAAACAACUCGAUCUGCUAAAUCACAUUAUAUUAGAAGAGUAGUAAAGCAACAUUUAAAUGAAAUUCACUCAACAAGUAAUGUUGAAAAUACGAAUGAAUUACUUAACUGUGGAAAUUCAAUAAACUUCAGUGAUGAGUCUAUUAACCAUAAUAUGUUAUAUCAAAAUUCUUAUAAUUAUUUGGCUGAAGACACAUUAAAAUCCUCAAAUUUGAGUUUGGUGACAUAUCAUAUUUUGAUGAAAACCAACCCUCGAAUUUGACUAAUAGUUUUGAUGAUGACUGUAACAUAACUGAUGAUGAGCAUGGCUACUAUCCUUCAUGUUCCAGUGACAAUGAAGAGGCUCAGGAUGAAGUUACUUUGAAAGAACUGCUUAUUUGCUGUAAAAUUGAAGAUGACAGCAAAAAUUAAAAAAUUCGCUGUGGCUGAAUUUCUUGAUGAAAAAAAAAAAAGUUUGUGUGCCAUGGACGUUAUCUGUUCGUCAUGGCUGAUCAAUGAAAGUUUAGUGUUUUGACCCAAUCAUUUGAGAUCAUCUCGCCUUUUAACUGCCAUACGCGAAGCCACACUUACUCCUGAAAGUAAUUGGAAACAGUUAAAAAUAAGAAUUCUUUAUUAUUCUGACAGUUAUGAAACUGCUGUAGAACGAAUGGAAACAUUAGAAUUCACAUCAAGCGUUGAAACAGCUGCUGAAAGUGAUGAAGAAUUGUCUAUGCCACCAGCUAAAAAGUUAGCAGUUUGCAAUACAAGUGACACUGAGGUUUAUCCAUCAGUUUCCCCAAGAUUGAAGAAAUCUUUUAAUUGCCAAAAUAUUUUACAACCCACAACUGUUUGAUAUAUUGAGCCAUUUAGUUCGAAUCAUUCUAUACCGAUAUCUUCCUCUUCUGACCAGAGCUUGGCAACUGUUGUGGCUGCUUUAGGCACCCGAUUUUCUGCAUUUGAGAAGAAAAGUUUAGAGCUGCUUGUCAGUAUUCAAUAUGAUUUAAAAAAGUUAAACACUUGCCUAAUCAAUUUAGAAAAAAGCUUAGUGUUUCCUUCUACUGUUAGCAAUCAGAGCAUAGCAGGACCAUCCCCAUCAGUUCAAUGGAAUUAUUUGCCUGUUAAAGAGGAAAAAGAACUUUUAGACCUGGAUGAAAAAUUAUAGAACAAAGACACCUAUGAAUCUUUGAUGAACUUCCUUGCAUCGGUUGGAGGCGACGAUUACAAGCAACUUACCACGGCUAUUUUAAAACAACUAUUGACUAAAAAAGUAUGCUUGUUAUAUUCUUUGUAUGGCAGGAAACAAAAGAAAUCCUUUUCGUCUCUUACGUCCUGCAAGGUGGUUAUAGCUGCCAUAAAAAAAAAGUUUGAAAACGCUAAUGAUAAGAGCAUUAAAGAAAGAAUCGGCAGCUUUCUGGCUACGGCCAUUGAUAGAGACGGCGGAAGAAAGAAUAGAACCGCAAUUGAGCAAAGCCCACUUUUGAGCGAUGAAAAUGAAUGUCGCGAAGAUAAUGCCCAUUAACUGAUAGUGAAUCAAUGCCCAUUAUCUGAUAGUGAGGGUGUAAUGUAAUAAAUAUAAUAUAUAUAUA